CUUCCGCAUAGACAGUGGAAAAAGAAUGGCCUUUGUAAUUGACCAAAACGAAAAGGUUUCAGUUGGGUGUCAGGAUAAUCCAUAUGGAUUUAAUGGUGCGGUGGUGUAUGGAGAUGAAACCUAUGGCAUGACCUCAAGAUGUAUCCCAGAUAUGACUGGCUACAAUCAAUACCUAACUAGUUGCAACAGACGUGGAAAUGGCUUUAGUGCUGGAGUCAUUAAUGCAGACAAUCUUAAUGAUGCUCGAGCAUUGCAUCAAAUGCUGCCAGUGAAUGUUUCACUGACCGUAUCUGCUAUAUCGGCCCCAAUGAACACUCGCAACCAACUAGGAGGUCGUCACAUGGACCCAUAUUUCACUUAUGGAUAUGCAUUAGCACCCGUUUAUGGAUGUGGCAGGAACAGGUAUCCGCUUUGGGAUAGAGAUGAACAACAUGAGGAGGAAGAGGGGAAUUUGCGUCUUAAGGAGAAAAAGAAGAAAGCAGGAAGAAGAAGGAGGAAAAGAUCCCGCCAUGCUGGUCAUUAGAAGGGCAAAAGAUCUGACCAGCAUAUAAAUAAAUAAACCAUUGUAAUUACAAUGUAUUCAUAAGAAUUUCUCUGUGCUUUGUUCUGUCUGGUUUCCAUAUUCUUAAGGUGCAGUAUCAUUUACUGUUUGGUGAAUUGGUGCAGGCAAAAUCCAGUCAUUUCAAUAGGAAUCCAUGCGAAAGGUUUCCCCUUGCAGAUUUGGCACUGGGUUCACGUUGGCCAACCAAACUGACUUGUGUAUGACUUCUUUAUAUUUUAUUGAACUUCUGAUUUCUUUAUUGUAUGUUCGCUAGCAACAUAAUCUGUUUUUUCAUGAUACUGAACUAAUCCUCACCUGUUAUCCAUUAAAACAACGUACUUAUGAUUUAUUCUGGUGGUAUAGGCUAGUGAUGAUACCGAAAGAUCUGGGCUGGUAUAACGCUAAAUGUUGUAGGAUAUGGGCACAAUAUUUGUUGUACACCAUGCACAACAUAGUAUAAGCUUGAAUAGUAAUAUGCACUUUAAAGGGCUGUACGUACGGGACUGUAUGUUUUUCAAAUAAAAACUAAUUACACUGACG
rnacentral:lncRNA from 1 species